rnacentral:rRNA from 1 species
ACGUAGGUGGCUAGCGUUAUCCGGAUUCACUGGGCGUAAAGCGCGUGCAGGCGGUUCCGUAAGUCGGACGUGAAAGCUCCUGGCUUAACUGGGAGAGGUCGUUCGAUACUGCGGGACUUGAGGUUGGGAGAGGGACGUGGAAUUCCCGGUGUAGUGGUGGAAUGCGUAGAGAUCGGGAGGAACACCAGUGGCGAAGGCGACGUCCUGGCCCAUACCUGACGCUGAGACGCGAAAGCGUGGGGAGCGAACGGG